rnacentral:rRNA from 1 species
AUUGAACGCUGGCGGCAGGCUUAACACCUGCUAGUCGAGCGAGCGGCUGACGGGUGCGUAAUGUCUGCGAAACUGCCUGAUGGAGGGGGAUAACUACUGGAAACGGUAGCUAAUACCGCAUAACAUCAGAUGUGCUCAGAUGGGAUUAGCUCAGAGGGGGGGUAAUGGCUCACCUAGGCGACGAUCCCUAGCUGGUCUGAGAGGAUGACCAGCCACACGGGAAAUGAGGCACGGGCCAUACUGCUACGUGAGGCAGCAGUGGGGAAUAUUGCACAAUGGGCGCAAGCCUGAUGCAGCCAUGCGGCGUGUGUGAAGAAGGCCUUCGGGUUGUAAAGCACUUUCAGCGAGGAGGCGUUACUCGCAGAAGAAGCACCGGCUAACUCCGUGCCAGCAGCCGCGGUAAUAC